rnacentral:lncRNA from 1 species
AAAAAAUUAAAAUAAAAAAAAUUCGUAAAGUAAAAAUUAUAUUUGAGCAUUGUGUAAAUAAUUAUAGUAACUUAAUUAAAAUUAAGGGAUAAAUAAAUAGAUGUGAGAGAAAUUAAAAAAAAAUUAAUACAUUCCCCAUUUGCAAUUUUCCCGCCCAUCACUUAUAGUAUUUUCAAUUCAAAUUUAUUACUUAUCAUGCCAGCUUAUUAAAUUUAUUGUGAGCCGUUCAAUUCUACUUACCCAUAAAGUCGCCAAAUUCAAUGGUUAAAAAUCUCUCAGAUCCAACCUAUUAACUUGGCUUUCAGUUAAAUAGCCGGGUUGCCAUUAAGGUCCACUGGUCCCAAUUGCUUUUUAUCUCUCCCCUCUAGGUGGGACCCGCCGUCCCUCAACGUCUCCCGUUGUCAAAAUCCAAACCAAAUUGAUUGGUCGUGCAAACCCAAAAAAGAAACCCAAAUUAUUAUUGAAACAAAAUCGAUCAGCUAGCUCGUUUUCAAACCCAGCUCACCACUUCACAGCUAUGAUUUUCUUCAAACUUUCUUCAAUUAAAGUGCAGAAUUGCAGACUAGGGUUUCUGGAUUAAUCUCCAAUAGCAAACGAUGUUCAAGUGAGGGAAACAAGGAGUUCGAAGCUCCAACUAAUUAACAAGGGUUGAUGAACUCUUCCCAUGAUCAAUCGGUAUAAGGGAGUUUGAUUUCUCUUUCUCAUCGCUUCCAAUAUCGAAAUAUCUCGAAUAUCAUUAUAUUCAAGAUAAACAUAAACCAUACCAAACGACCUCGAUAUGCAAUGCCUCCAUAGCAAUGAGCAAGACUAUAUGCUAAAUUUUAGAGCAGUCCAUAACAUUUCAUACUAGAAGCACACUUUAGAUCCACUGCUUACUAUUUUAGUAUCCCUGUGCUGCAUUUUACAGGAUUGCAAACAAAUUUUGGACUGGACGCAUAUAUAUGUUUGUUCUUACCGUUACUUUUUGCAGGUUAUCGUGUAAACUAAAAGUACAACAGAAACACUGAUGAACAAGAUAGGUAAGCAUUUUCAAGUACAGCCUGCAAAACGAGGCUAAAAGCUCAAUUGAGGAAUCUGUCUUGAAUGAGUAAAGUCCAAAUCAUACCCAAAACAAAUAACAAGAAGAUGCAGAGUUGUUUGAGAACCUGAUUAUUGUGAGAGGAAUGACCGUGUUCGAGAAGCGGCGCUUGUUCCUCCGCUGAAACCAUGGAUUUGUUCCUCGGAGCCUUGUUUCUCCGAUGGAAGAGGAGGAAGGAGACGUGAUAACGCCGGGAGAAAAAGGAGAGCUAGUUGAUAGAAACAGGGGAAAUGAGGUGAGGAAUCUUCAGAUGGCGUGUCGUCGUUGUAAAAAGGAGUAUCAGCCAUAAACAACUACCUCAUUUUAUCCGGGAGCAGUUUAAAAUCCAAACAAAUAAGUUUCAGGA